rnacentral:rRNA from 1 species
UGGGGAAUAUUGCACAAUGGGGGAAACCCUGAUGCAGCGACGCCGCGUGAACGAAGAAGGUAUUCGUAUCGUAAAGUUCUGUCCUAUGGGAAGAUAAUGACAGUACCAUAGAAGAAAGCUCCGGCUAAAUACGUGCCAGCAGCCGCGGUAAUACGUAUGGAGCGAGCGUUGUCCGGAAUUAUUGGGCGUAAAGGGUACGCAGGCGGUUUAAUAAGUCGAAUGUUAAAGAUCGGGGCUCAACCCCGCAAAGCAUUGGAAACUGAUAAACUUGAGUAGUGGAGAGGAAAGUGGAAUUCCUAGUGUAGUGGUGAAAUACGUAGAUAUUAGGAGGAAUACCAGUAGCGAAGGCGACUUUCUGGACACAAACUGACGCUGAGGUGCGAAAGCGUGGGGAGCAAACAGG